UCCCUACGGGGCGCAGCAGUGAGGAAUAUUGGUCAAUGGGCUUACGCCUGAACCAGCCAAGUCGCGUGAGGGAAGACUGCCCUAUGGGUUGUAAACCUCUUUUGUCAGGGAGCAACGCCGGCUACGUGUAGCCGGACUGAGAGUACCCGAAGAAUAAGCUCCGGCUAACUACGUGCCAGCAGCCGCGGUAAUACGUAGGGAGCAAGCGUUAUCCGGAUUUACUGGGUGUAAAGGGCGUGUAGGCGGGCAUGCAAGCCAGAAGUGAAAUCUGGGGGCUUAACCCCCAAACUGCUUUUGGAACUGCG
rnacentral:rRNA from 1 species